rnacentral:rRNA from 1 species
UACAGAGGUCCCAAGCGUUGUUCGGAUUCAUUGGGCGUAAAGGGUGCGUAGGUGGCGCUGUAAGUCGGGUGUGAAAUUUCGGAGCUUAACUCCGAAACUGCAUUCGAUACUGCGGUGCUCGAGGACUGGAGAGGAGACUGGAAUUCAUGGUGUAGCAGUGAAAUGCGUAGAGAUCAUGAGGAAGACCAGUGGCGAAGGCGGGUCUCUGGACAGUUCUUGACACUGAGGCACGAAGGCCAGGGGAGCAAACGGG